CAAGUCGAACGAAGUAGCAAUACUUAGUGGCAGACGGGUGAGUAACAUGUAGGUAUCUGCCCUUUGGCCUGGAAUAACACGAGGAAACUUGUGCUAAUACCGGAUAAGUCUUUACAGAGAAAGCUUUAUGCACCAUUGGAUGAGCCUGCACUUGAUUAGUUUGUUGGUGGGGUAAUGGCCUACCAAGACUGUGAUCAAUAGCUGAUUUGAGAGGAUGAUCAGCCACAUUGGGACUGAGACACGGCCCAAACUCCUACGGGAGGCAGCAGUGGGGAAUCUUGCACAAUGGAGGAAACUCUGAUGCAGCGAUGCCGCGUGAGUGAAGAAGGCCCUUGGGUUGUAAAGCUCUUUCGUCGGGGAAGAAAAUGACUGUACCCGAAUAAGAAGGUCCGGCUAACUUCGUGCCAGCAGCCGCGGUAAUACGAAGGGACCUAGCGUAGUUCGGAAUUACUGGGCUUAAAGAGUUCGUAGGUGGUUGAAAAAGUUGGUGGUGAAAUCCCAGAGCUUAACUCUGGAACUGCCAUCAAAACUUUUCAGCUAGAGUAUGAUAGAGGAAAGCAGAAUUUCUAGUGUAGAGGUGAAAUUCGUAGAUAUUAGAAAGAAUACCAAUUGCGAAGGCAGCUUUCUGGAUCAUUACUGACACUGAGGAACGAAAGCAUGGGUAGCGAAGAGGAUUAGAUACCCUCGUAGUCCAUGCCGUAAACGAUGUGUGUUAGACGUUGGAAAUUUAUUUUCAGUGUCGCAGCGAAAGCGAUAAACACACCGCCUGGGGAGUACGACCGCAAGGUUAAAACUCAAAUGAAUUGACGGGGACCCGCACAAGUAGUGGAGCAUGU
rnacentral:rRNA from 1 species